ensembl:lncRNA
CCUCCCCAGCGCCGCCUCCCUCCGCCGGGCUUCCGGGAGCCCUCGUGAUCCGCUCCGCCGCCACCAGCGCAGCGCAGCCCGCAGCGAGCCCCGCUCGGCCGCCCGUGCUCUGUGCUAGAUCCUGCGCGCCAUGUGCUGGCUUCGUGCUGUGGCCCUGCUGCUCUGGGCAGGGCUGGGCCUGGCCCAAGAUUACCCAUUCCGGGACCCCACCCUGCCCUGGGAGCAGCGGCUGGACGACCUCAUCGGGCGGCUCACCCUGGGGGAGCUGGUGCUGCAGAUGGCGAGAGGUGGCGCUAAGUACAACGGGCCAGCGCCCCCCAUUGAGCGGCUGGGGAUCAAGCCCUACAACUGGAACACCGAGUGCCUGAGGGGGGAUGGGGAAGCCCCCGGCUGGGCCACGGCCUUCCCCCAAGCACUGGGCUUGGCGGCCUCCUUCAGCCCCGAGCUCAUCCACCGCGUGGCCAAUGCCACUGCCACGGAAGUGAGAGCCAAGCACAACUACUUCAUGUCCACGGGCAUCUACGGCGACCACACAGGCCUCAGCUGCUUCAGCCCGGUGCUGAACAUCAUGAGACACCCGUUGUGGGGCAGGAACCAGGAGACGUACGGCGAAGACCCGUUCCUGAGCGCAGAGCUGGCCGUGGCGUUCGUGCAGGGGCUGCAGGGCGACCACCCCCGUUACGUCAAGGCCAGUGCCGGCUGCAAACACUUCAGCGUGCACGGGGGGCCCGAGAAUGUGCCCGUCUCCAGGCUCAGCUUUGAUGCCAAGGUGCAAGAGCGGGACUGGAGAAUGACCUUCCUGCCCCAGUUCCAGGCCUGUGUGCGCGCUGGCUCCUACAGCGUCAUGUGCAGCUACAACAGGAUCAACGGCGUGCCCGCCUGCGCCAACAAGAAGCUGCUGACAGACAUCCUGCGGGCAGAGUGGGGCUUCCAGGGCUACGUGGUGAGCGACGAGGGCGCCGUGGAGUUGAUCAUGCUGGCCCAUCGCUACACACACAGCUUCCUGGAGACGGCCAUCGCCUCGGUGAACGCUGGCUGCAACCUAGAGCUGUCCUUCAGCCUGACGGAGAACGUCUUCAUGAGCAUCAGCGAGGCUGUGGCCAAGGGUAACAUCACGCUGGAGACGGUGAGGGCCCGGGUCCGGCCACUCUUCUACACACGUCUGCGGCUGGGGGAGUUCGACCCCCCUGCCAUGAACCCCUACAGCGCCCUCGACCUGAGCGCCGUGCAGAGCCCCGCCCACAGGAGCCUCGCCGUGGAGGCCGCCGUCAAGAGCUUUGUGCUGCUGAAGAACGAGGGGGGGACGCUGCCCCUCAGCGCCCAGGCCCUGGCCGGCAAGCGGAUCGCGGUCGUUGGUCCCUUUGCCGACAACCCCAGGGUGCUGUUUGGGGACUACGCACCCAUCCCGGACCCCCAGUACAUCUACACCCCCAGGAGGGGCCUGGAGACCCUGCCAGCCAACGUCAGCUUCGCCGCAGGCUGCAGCGAUCCCAGGUGCCAGUACUACUCGCCGGGCGAGGUGGAGGGGGCGGUCUGGGCAGCCGACGUCGUCGUGGUGUGCCUGGGCACAGGGACUGACCUGGAGACAGAGGCGAAGGACCGACGGGACCUGUCCCUGCCCGGGCACCAGCAGAAGCUGCUGCAGGACGCUGUGGCCUGGGCCGUGGGGCGCCCCAUCAUCCUGCUGCUGUUCAACGCGGGGCCACUGGACGUGGGCUGGGCCCAGGCCCACCACGGAGUAGGCGCCAUCCUGGCGUGCUUCUUCCCAGCGCAGGCCGCGGGCAUCGCCAUCAUCAAGGUGCUGCUGGGGGAGGAGGGGGCCAGCCCGGCGGGCAGGCUCCCGGCCACCUGGCCAGCUGGCAUGGACCAGGUGCCAGCCAUGGAGAAUUACACCAUGGAUGGGCGCACAUACCGGUACUAUGGGCCAGUGGCCCCGCUCUACCCCUUCGGCUACGGACUGUCCUACACCACCUUCCUCUACCGGGACCUGGCCUUGAGCCCCACAGUGCUGCCCCUCUGCGCCAACCUCAGCGUCUCCGUGGUGGUGGAGAACACUGGGCAGAGGGAUGGUGAAGAGGUGGUGCAGCUGUACCUGCGUUGGGCGCAGCCCUCCGUGCCGGUGCCCCGCUGGCAGCUGGUUGGAUUCCGCCGGGUGCCCGUUGCCGCAGGCCGGGCGGCGAAGCUGCUGUUCCUGGUGACCUACGUGCAGCGCGCCGUCUGGGCCGAGCAGUGGCAGCUGGAGCCGGGCGCCUUCACGCUCUUUGUGGGCGGGCAGCAGCCGGGCCAGGAGACACGGGCCAGCUCCGAGGUCCUGCGGGCGGAGUUCACUGUGACCGGCAGCACCCGACCCCUGAGCCGCUGCUAAGGACAGGGACCGUUUCUGGGGCACUGGAAUGGGAACUGCAGGGGGCUAGGAUGUGGCCAUGUGCGUUGGGGCUGGGAUCUGGCCCAGCACCCAGCUGGCUGUAGCAGGAAGCGGGGGCACAUGGCUGGCUCUAUCAGGGUUAGGAGGGCCGGCCCGGCACCUGGCUGGCUGUAUGCGGGGGCCCAGCCUGCACUUGGCUGGCUGUACUGGGGGGGUCGGCCCGGCACCUGGCUGGCUGUAUUCGGGGGCCUGGCCGGCUCUUGGCUGGCUCUACUGGGGACAAUGGGAGCUCAUUCACUCGAUGCACAAUAAACUUUGCCCAGCGUUGACCCCUAU